GACGAACGCUGGCGGCGUGCUUAACACAUGCAAGUCGAACGGAAAGGCCUGCUUUCCCUUGUGGAUUGCGGGUACUCGAGUGGCGAACGGGUGAGUAACACGUGAGUGAUCUGCCCCCAACUUGGGUAUAAGCCUGGGAAACUGGGUCUAAUUCCCGAUAGGACUGCAGGGUGGUGCCUGUGGUGGAAAACGAUUUUCUAGUGGUUGGGGAUGAGCUCGCGGCCUAUCAGCUUGUUGGUGGGGUAAUGGCCUACCACGGCGGCGACGGGUAGCCGGCCUGAGAGGGUGGACGGCCACAUUGGGACUGAGAUACGGCCCAGACUCCUACGGGAGGCAGCAGUGGGGAAUAUUGCACAAUGGGCGGAAGCCUGAUGCAGCGACGCCGCGUGGGGGAUGACGGCCUUCGGGUUGUAAACUCCUUUCGACCGCGAGGAAGCCACCUGGUUGGAAGGGUGGUGACGGUAGUGGUAGAAGAAGCACCGGCUAACUACGUG
rnacentral:rRNA from 1 species